rnacentral:rRNA from 2 species
UACGGAGGAUGCGAGCGUUAUCCGGAUUUAUUGGGUUUAAAGGGUGCGUAGGCGGAACAAUAAGUCAGUGGUGAAAGACUGCAGCUUAACUGUAGACUUGCCGUUGAUACUGUUGAUCUUGAGUAUGGUCAAGGCAGGCGGAAUGUGUAAUGUAGCGGUGAAAUGCUUAGAUAUUACACAGAACACCGAUUGCGAAGGCAGCUUGCUGGGCCAUUACUGACGCUGAUGCACGAAAGCGUGGGGAUCGAACAGG